AGUGAACGCUGGCGGUAGGCCUAACACAUGCAAGUCGAACGGCAGCACAGUAAGAGCUUGCUCUUACGGGUGGCGAGUGGCGGACGGGUGAGGAAUACAUCGGAAUCUACUUUUUCGUGGGGGAUAACGUAGGGAAACUUACGCUAAUACCGCAUACGACCUACGGGUGAAAGCAGGGGCUCCUCGGACCUUGCGCGAUUGAAUGAGCCGAUGUCGGAUUAGCUAGUUGGCGGGGUAAAGGCCCACCAAGGCGACGAUCCGUAGCUGGUCUGAGAGGAUGAUCAGCCACACUGGAACUGAGACACGGUCCAGACUCCUACGGGAGGCAGCAGUGGGGAAUAUUGCACAAUGGGCGCAAGCCUGAUCCAGCCAUACCGCGUGGAUGAAGAAGGCCUUCGGGUUGUAAAGCCCUUUUGUUGGGAAAGAAAAGCAGAAGGUUAAUACCCCGCUGUUCUGACGGUACCCAAAGAAUAAGCACCGGCUAACUUCGUG
rnacentral:rRNA from 1 species